UGGAGAGCUCUGACACGAUUGAUAACGUGAAGACGAAGAUUCAGGACAAGGAGGGGAUUCCUCCGGACCAGCAGAGGUUGAUCUUCGCAGGGAAGCAAUUGGAGGACGGCCGCACUUUGGCUGAUUACAACAUCCAGAAGGAGUCGACCUUGCACUUGGUUCUUAGGUUGAGGGGAGGCAUGCAAAUUUUUGUGAAGACGUUGACAGGGAAGACCAUCACCCUGGAGGUGGAGAGCUCUGACACGAUUGAUAACGUGAAGACGAAGAUUCAGGACAAGGAGGGGAUUCCUCCGGACCAGCAGAGGUUGAUCUUCGCAGGGAAGCAAUUGGAGGACGGCCGCACUUUGGCUGAUUACAACAUCCAGAAGGAGUCGACCUUGCACUUGGUUCUUAGGUUGAGGGGAGGCAUGCAAAUUUUUGUGAAGACGUUGACAGGGAAGACCAUCACCCUGGAGGUGGAGAGCUCUGACACGAUUGAUAACGUGAAGACGAAGAUUCAGGACAAGGAGGGGAUUCCUCCGGACCAGCAGAGGUUGAUCUUCGCAGGGAAGCAAUUGGAGGACGGCCGCACUUUGGCUGAUUACAACAUCCAGAAGGAGUCGACCUUGCACUUGGUUCUUAGGUUGAGGGGAGGCAUGCAAAUUUUUGUGAAGACGUUGACAGGGAAGACCAUCACCCUGGAGGUGGAGAGCUCUGACACGAUUGAUAACGUGAAGACGAAGAUUCAGGACAAGGAGGGGAUUCCUCCGGACCAGCAGAGGUUGAUCUUCGCAGGGAAACAAUUGGAGGAUGGUCGCACCCUGGCCGAUUACAACAUCCAGAAGGAGUCGACCUUGCACUUGGUGCUCCGCCUCCGAGGUGGUCAGUAGGUCGUCCUACUAUGUUGUUAAACGUCCCUUACAGUGUGUGUAAUAAUGAAUAAAAGGAUUUUUUUCCGAUUUGGUCACUAUUUCGGCUUCGUGAUGGUUUGAAAGUUUCGUCUUGGUGUUGGCAAGCGUUACAUGUUCCUGGCAUUUGAGGGAGAACUGCAUCUUUUUCUCUCGUUUGAGAAUGUAUUAAAGGUUGUGUAUGACUUUGCAUUUAGAAGUAAUCUGAGGCAUUUGUUGGAUGUGUUGGCAACAUUUUGAACUCGGCCACAUUAUUCACUAGG
rnacentral:lncRNA from 1 species